AUAAAGGCCAAGGGGGAGCCAGUUUGGGGAACAGAUGCUCUGAAGGCCUCUUCUAGUAAACGUAUAGACAGAACAACAGCGUUCAGCAUUUGAGAGAAAAGCAAAAACAGAGGAGCUUUAAAGCACAAGACAAAAAUAAGAUCACGCUGCAAUCCCACAGGACGCGUGUGUCAAGAACCAUGGCUUAACUUCUCCACAAAGCCAUGUCAAGAGAAAGCCCCACAAUACACCUGCGAUCUUACGAAUCGUAACCCACUUUGGUAUUAAGACUCAAGAGUUCAACAAGCAAGCACUUCCUUUAUCUUCGAGAAAAAAAGCAAGUUCUCUUCCAGGUACCUGUGGUUAUAAUUUCGGAAAUCUAGAGCUGCACGUCUUCCCCCCCUCAGUGCCUCUUUCCUGCUGGAGCUGUGGAGUGUGACAAUGGUGUUUGUUUCCAAUCUGUCAAACGCCAUUAUCACACUAAAUAGCUACUGUUAGAUAAGCCAUCGGGUUCAGCAGAGGGAAGGAAAAGGAAGAGAAUUAUUGGAGCAAUAUAUCCUCACAGCAAAGCUGCAGGAAUACAACAGUCCCCCUGUUUCUCUGAAAAUAAGACAUAGCUAUAAAAUAAGCCGUAGCAGGAUUUUUAAGCAUUCAAGGAAUAUAAGCCAUACUCCGAAAAUAAGACAUAGUGAUAGGCGCAGCGGCAAUGCCAGCCGCGGCAGGAAGAUGAGGAAGGGGGGGGAAUAAGACAUCCCCUGAAAAUAAGCCAUAGUGUGUGUUUUUAAAGGAAAAAUAAAUAUAAGACGGUGUCUUAUUUUCAGAGAAACAUGGUAUCAAAAUCACGUCAACUGCUUGCUUUGCGGUGCCAAAAUCUCAUGCAGUAAAUAAUGCGAUCUGCUUUUCUAAAAGUACACAUUGUGAUCCCAGUUGCUUUGC